UACAGAGGGUGCGAGCGUUAAUCGGAAUUACUGGGCGUAAAGCGCACGUAGGUGGCGACGUAAGUCGGGUGUGAAAGCCCCGGGCUCAACCUGGGAAUUGCAUUCGAGACUGUGUCGCUGGAGUGCGGCAGAGGGGGAUGGAAUUCCGCGUGUAGCAGUGAAAUGCGUAGAUAUGCGGAGGAACACCGAUGGCGAAGGCAAUCCCCUGGGCCUGCACUGACGCUCAUGCACGAAAGCGUGGGGAGCAAACAGG
rnacentral:rRNA from 1 species